UACGUAGGGGGCGAGCGUUGUCCGGAAUCAUUGGGCGUAAAGCGCGUGUAGGCGGCUUGGUAAGUCUGGUGUGAAACCUCGGGGCUCAACCCCGAGCCUGCACUGGAUACUGCCUCGCUCGAGUCCGGGAGGGGAGAGCGGAAUUCCUAGUGUAGCGGUGAAAUGCGCAGAUAUUAGGAAGAACACCGGUGGCGAAGGCGGCUCUCUGGAACGGUACUGACGCUGAGACGCGAAAGCGUGGGGAGCAAAC
rnacentral:rRNA from 1 species